rnacentral:rRNA from 1 species
GACGAACGCUGGCGGCGUGCUUAACACAUGCAAGUCGAACGGAAAGGCCCUGCUUUUGUGGGGUGCUCGAGUGGCGCACGGGUGAGUAACACGUGAGUAACCUGCACUUGACUUUGGGGUAACUUCAGGAAACUGGGGCUAAUACCGGAUAGGAGCUCCUGCUGCAUGGUGGGGGUUGGUAAGUUUCGGCGGUUGGGGAUGGACUGGCGGCUUAUCAGCUUGUUGGUGGGGUAGUGGCUGACCAAGGUUUUGACGGGUAGCCGGCCUGGGAGGGUGACCGGCCACAUUGGGACUGAGAUACGGCCCAGACUCCUACGGGAGGCAGCAGUGGGGAAUAUUGCACAAUGGGCGGAAGCCUGAUGCAGCAACGCCGCGUGCGGGAUGACGGCCUUCGGGGUGUAAACCGCUUUCGCCUGUGACGAAGCGUGAGUGACGGUAAUGGGUAAAGAAGCACCGGCUAACUACGUG